UCACUCGUUCCCCAAAUUGACACAUCCAAAAUUUUCAGUUCCCCGCUCCACCAAAGUGACCCGCCAUAUUCUCGCGCUUCCCAACCCUAGCUUUUCGAUUCAAAUUCAUCCCAGUCGAUCUUGUUCUUUCGGUUAUGGUUUUUGAUACAAAUGAUGAUGAACAAUCGUAGCAACAGCAACAAAAAUGUGGCCGCUGUUCCACCCACUAUUUCAUCAAAACAAAUUGUUCCAAUUCCUAAGACCGUAGAUACUCCGAAGGUCGAUAAAAGGUAACCUGCUUCAAUGAUCCCAAGCCCCAUUUUUUUGUAUUUAUGAAGAUUUGGAUGUUGGAUAUAGUUUGCAGUUCGUGUGCACCUGGAUUUACACUGAUUUUAUGCACCAUUUUCUGAUUGUUAAGGAACUUUGUUGUAACCCAUUUUCUCAAGAACACAAAAUUAAGUUUCUUGAUUAAUAAAAAGAUUCGCAUUUUGCGAUAACCACAGCAGGAGGGUGUUUGGGGUGAAGAUGGUUUGCCUCAGCUUUCUAUCUAACGUUUGCCCUCCGCCUUCUACUUUCCUUGGACCAAAAUGUGUUUUAUAGUAUAGGGCUGCUCCGUACUGGCUCAGUGGCUGGUGGUUCGAGAGGCCCGUUCUAUUGUGGUGCACCAGCUACUGCAGGCAGUGGUGGCGUAAAACGAAGGUCAACCCAGGAUGACCCUAAUACAGCCUAAAGGCAUUGAUUUGAAAGAUACCUUAGCUUUUGCUGCGCUUGGUGCAAAAGUUCAAGGAACAAAUGUAGGUGUUUCAGUGUGUGAAGGAGUCACUACAAGUAUAUGUAGGUUAAUCACGAAGUACUUGCCUACCAUGCAUGUGCAUCCUACGGUGAUAGCGCACCUUGAAACGAAUUAACUUUGAUGGAUGUGUACCAGUGCUUUUGAGCGACCAGCUUAGCAAGCUACUUCUCUUUAUAUAUUGUUGAGGCUGUGGUGGUGGGUUCGAGUCAAACAAGGCAUGGUUGUGCCGGUUUCAUCAAGAAUGGACUAGGGGUUAAUGUGUAUUGCAAGGUAAGCGUAUAUAAUCCUUUAGUUUUGGUUCUAAUCAUGUUCUAAGGGCUGUUAUGGGGGUACAAGGAGUAUCAAGGCCGAGUAAGGGCUUCCCAAAGGCCCAUUGUGACAGUUUCGGUAGUCUUGGACCCGAACGUGUGAAACAGACAACGAAUCAAUGCAUAAAUGUUAAAGUUAUGUUUGUAUUCAGUUAGAUUCUGUUUUUAGCAUAUUUUUAGCACUGAAUUCGUGGCCCACGGUGAAGGUUUGAUAGAUAGGUUAAAUGCUAACUGUAUGUGUGUUAAUUUUGUUGUAUUUGGUCGAUUCAACGUGAAGAUCAAGAGGACAAUGUGGUUAGUCUAUUUUCAAUCUGCUAUUUUUACUACAAACUUUCUUAUUAUACAAGAUACUGGAUUUACAUCAUAUGAAACUUUUCUUAUGUGCUAUUUUCAGACCAUGGUUGAAUUGAUGGGGGCACAAGUUUCGAAACCGCUGAUUGCAACCAAGGUGGCUUUUUUACCGAACAAGAUAUUAAGAGCCUACCAUGUUUACAGGUGAUGGUAAUUCCGACAACCAGGGGUAUUGAAAAAACCACCCAUCUUUUGGCUGAAGAGCUUAAAGUGAUGUCAAAAGAAGUUGAGUAUUGUCAGUUGGCUGAUGUAGCGGCAAUAAGUAGCAAGUGCUGGGAACUAUGAAGUGGAAGUAUAACUACUAAGAAAACGUUAACACAAUGAUUAUUUAACUCGCAUGAAGAUUGUGAAAGGGAUUCAAGAACACAAUGAAGUUUUGAGUUUUUAUUAAUACACUUAGUUCAUUUGGGUUAUAUGUUUGAUCACUUGACUUAGAUCGACACUUAUUAGACAUUUGGAAUCUUUGGAAGAGUGAUGGAACCUUUAAUUGAAGUGAUUAUUUUAUGAUUUC